AUGAAAAUGGAGGAAAUGCCUUUGUCUGGCCUGAAUAACAGCAAGCUAGAGGCCAUAGCUAGGGAAAUAUAAGCGGACCUGGUCUAGAAUUCUUGUUCGGGAUUCUGCUUUGAGGUACAUCAGGCUGCCAAGUGUGGCUACUUCUUCCUGGAUGACAUGGACCCUGAUAGCGUGAACGAUUUUGGUUUUCAACCAGUGGGAGAGCAAGGAGUGUGUCUGCCUUGGUUGCAACUGUAGCAAUCCUGCCCUCGUUUUGCUCCCCAUCUGGAUAAGUGCCUGGGAAUGGGUGGGAAUAGCAGUCGAAUCGCCAACCACCGGAUUGCCAAUAGCAACAAUAUGGGCAAGUCUGAGAGUGACCAAGAGGAUAAUGAUGACAUCAACGACAACGACUGGUCCUAUGGCUCAGAGAAUAAAGCUGAGAAGAGAAAAUCAGGCAAGAACCCCGAUUCCCCUCGAAGAUCUGAGUCUUUAAAAUGCAAAAAUGGGGAACUUAGUGAUUUGAUUUUUUUUUAAGUAUAACAACUCAACUGGGAUCAGCUAUGAAACCUGGGGCCAAAGGAGUUUCAUAUCCUGCUAAGCAUGCAAUGUAGGGUGAUUUCUGAAGAUACCAAGAAGAUGUGCACAAAGUCCCUGCACUGCCCACAGCACACAGAUGAGCAGAGGUGAACCUUGCAGAUGUAUUUCUUCAGGGCCUCAGCUGUCCAUCCAGAGGUGGAGAGUUCCCAGGAUAAUGACAGUUUUGAUAUGACUGACAGCCAGGCCCUGAUCAGCCAGCUUAAGUGCGACUGUUUCUCUGAUCUCUCACCCUCUGAUUCAGGCUCCCCCAAGACGAGGGAAAAUCAGGGAUGGGGUCUAGGUACCAACAGCUCUGAGACACAGAAAACGUAGAAAAAGGAGUCCCAUAUGAGCCUGACAGGGACUUCCUCCGACCUGGGCUCCAACAAGAAGCCAAAGUUACCGAUACCCCUGAUGGCCAACAUCUAUGAUGACAUCAACUGA